rnacentral:rRNA from 1 species
GACGUAGGGCGCGAGCGUUGUCCGGAUUUAUUGGGCGUAAAGAGCUCGUAGGCUGUUCGGUAAGUCGGAUGUGAAAACUCCGGCUCAACUCGGAGACGCCAUUCGAUACUGCCAUGACUAGAGUCCGGUAGGGGGGUGUGGAAUUCCCAGUGUAGCGGUGAAAUGCGCAGAUAAUUGGGAGGAACACCAAUGGCGAAGGCAGCACCCUGGGCCGGUACUGACGCUGAGGAGCGAAAGCGUGGGGAGCAAACAGGG